AAAUUAGUGUUCUUUCCACUUUCUCUGUCCCCCUCUCUCUCCCCCUAUUAUUCUACUUUUAGAGAGAGAGAGAGGGAAGCAUCAACAAGUUCCAAAAGAAGGAAUUUUUUUUUUGGAGGUUGAGAAGCAUCACCUUCCUCACUCCCAAAAAUCCCAUACCCGCCAAUCCAAGAAGAAGAAGAAGAAGAAACUGGAGGUCAUCAUCACGUUCAUUCCCGAUUAUUGGCCACAAUUUUUUAAAUUUUCUUGGGGUUUCCGCCAGAUCUAAACUGGGAAUUUUCCAUCAUAGGGUUUCUCCAAGCCACUGCAUUUUUGUCUGCUAUAUUUAGCUAAAAACAAUAGUUUAUUACAACUGUAUGUUUCUUCGUUUUCGUGCUGGGAAAAGAUUUUGUUCGCGUGUUUUUAUGUACUGUUUCUCUCUCGCUCGCUCUCCUCGCUAAUUAGCCGUUUGAGGAAAUCAAGGCUGUGAGAACCGAAUCGGAAGUUGGUUUAAUUUUGGUUUGUCGAUUGAGAAGCGCUCGAUCAUGACUCGGAAGAAGAUAAAGAUAAAGAAGAUCGACAACAUUGCAGCCAGGCAGGUAACAUUCUCUAAGAGGAGAAGAGGGCUUUUCAAGAAAGCUGAAGAGCUUGCCGUCCUUUGCGACGCCGAUGUCGCCCUCAUCGUCUUCUCCUCCACCGGCAAGCUUUUCGAUUUCGCUAGCUCUAGCAUGAAACAUAUCCUUCAAAAAUAUGUAUCUCAUUCAAGUAACAUCAAGAAGUACCCACCUCUCCAAUUUCUGCAGCAAGAGAAUAGCCUUCAAGUGAGAUUAAGCAAGGAGAUUUCUGACAAGACUCGUGAGCUAAGGCGGAUCAGAGGUGACGACCUUGAAGGAUUAAGCUUAGAGGAACUUGAAGAACUGGAACAAAAGCUUGAAGUUGGAUUAAACCGUGUGUCUGAAACCAAGGAUGAACAGAUCAGGAAUGAGAUUGCCACCCUUCAAUACAAGGGUGCUGAGCUCAUGGAAGAAAAUGAUCGGUUGAAACAACGAGUUGCAGAGAUGAACAAUGACAGAAACGGGCGGAUUGUUGGUGACAUGGAUCGAAUGAUCCUAGAAGAGGGUCAGACAUCUGAUCAGUCCAUCACCAAUAAUAGCACCACCCAGCCACCUCUACAGGCUGCAGACUGCUCAGAUACAUUAUUGCUGAAACUCGGGCAUGUCAAUCAUAUGAAACUUCUAUUAUAGUUUGCAACUUCACUUAACUACUGCCUUUAAUUUCAUCAACCGAUAAAGCAUCUUGGGCGGAGGCCAGUAAGAGCCAAGGCCAUCCAGCACCAUGUGGCUACAGGGAUUGUUUGGUGGAGGCCGGUAAAGGGUCAAGUCCAACACCUUGACUCUUAAAAAUGGAUGGGAUAUAAGGAAAUAGAGUUACGCAUUCGUUAUUGCUAGCUAUAACUUUUGGCGUAGUGGCUACCCUAACACUAGCUGAAUAUGACCAUCAUCAGAAAUAAUGAUAAUGCAUGCCCAGGAAGCUGGAGUGUAUAUGUAUGAGGUUGUCUGGUAGUGGUGCUGUAAGUAUGAACCUAGCUCUGAUAUAAUCUGAUCUGCAUUUAUGUUAUGUUAGGCAAAUAAUUUUAGUUGCUCUAUCUGCACACUUUUUGGUGUUGCGUGGACCGACCACUGCAGGUAUAUAUGCGUCGAGCAGUGUUUGACAAGCUAGCAAUAAACAGUUCAUGAUUUGCGUAAAUGUAAUAGUUUGUGCGUUUUUGGUGUAAUAUAAUACAAUUUGGUAGUAUAUUUCAGCUGAUAGGGGUAAAGAGUGUACUUAGUGAUUCUCGUUGAGGGGUUUUUGUUAAGUUUUUCAUGGAUUUGUUUUAGUGAUGUGAAUGAGUUUUUCUGCUAA